rnacentral:rRNA from 1 species
GUAGGUGGCAAGCGUUGUCCGGGAAUUAUUGGGGCGUAAAGCGCGCGCAGGCGGUUCUUUAAGUCUGAUGUGAAAGCCCACGGGCUCAACCGUGGAGGGUCAUUGGAAACUGGAGAACUUGAGUACAGAAGAGGAAAGCGGAAUUCCACGUGUAGCGGUGAAAUGCGUAGAGAUGUGGAGGAACACCAGUGGCGAAGGCGGCUUUCUGGUCUGUAACUGACGCUGAGGCGCGAAAGCGUGGGGAGCAAACAGGAUUGGAUACCCUGGUAGUCCACGCCGUAAACGAUGAGUGCUAAGUGUUAGGGGGUUUCCGCCCCUUAGUGCUGCAGCUAACGCAUUAAGCACUCCGCCUGGGGAGUACGGCCGCAAAGGCUG